rnacentral:sRNA from 1 species
GCCGGGCACAGUGGCGUUGGCCUGUAAUCCCAGCAGCCCAGGAGGCUGAGGCAAGAGAAUCAAAAGCCUCAGCAACAGUGAGGUGCUAAGGAAAUCAAUGAGACACUGUCUCUA